ensembl:lncRNA
UGAGUGAGUACUGCUGAAUCAGGAGAAUCACAGUCUGGUCUCAACAAUGUUUCUUUUAACCAACAACUUAAUCUUUUAAGCCUCACAUUAGCUAAAAGGGCUUUUACAGGCCCUUGGUAAAACCCAGCUGUUACUUUCAGAGAUGCUGUAAGUACCAGAGCAGAGGACAUGGUCUCAGCUCUCAGUUCAGGCAUGUUUCCUUGCAUCAUUCCAGAAUGCUGACUGCUUACUUUUGGGUCAUAAGAGGCAAAUUCAUCCCUAGAAUGAGUCAGUGGAUUUCCACUAGAGCUGACUCCCUGCUCGGGGAUGCUCCCAUACGUUGCAGAAAUCCUCCUGUGGAGACAACAAGGCAGUGGAGCAGCACACACAUGCUCAGAGGGAAUCACAGUGCGGACUGUCCAGUGAUGAUGGACAUGCCCAGAACUGGCACACACAUUUAAACAGAUGAUAUUUUGGCCAUCACUGGCUGAAGCUGGAUUCUGCUCUCAGUUACGGCAGCUGAAUAUGGAAUGUUCAUUUAGAUGCCAAUGGCAUAACUUUGGUUUUGUUCCUGAGCAUUGAGCCAAUCCAUGGCCCUCAGUUCUCCCUCCUUUACAUUCAAACUAACCUUCUACUGAGCACAUACUUUCAUCUGUAUCUCUCUUUUCAUCUCUUCAGCAGAAGUAACAACUUAGAUGCAGUAAUCAAGAAGCAGAUAGAUCCAGAGAAGGUAAGGAACUUAAAGGUUGAUUUUCCCUGCACAGAUCUCCAUGUAAAAAUGUUAUUGACCAUGCUGAGUGUUCUUUCCAAGUUUUUUCAAAGGCUUCCAGUACUCUUUGGAGAGCAGGCUUUGGCCAUCCAUUCCUUCUUACGCUUCCUGUGCGUCCCUUUGAAAUCCUUCACCCUUUCACAGGAGCUUUCCUCAGUCUAGGACACUGUCUUUGCAUCUUUUGAUCAGAGCAUGGUUGAAGUAGAAACACUGUCCCUUCUUUCAGCAUCAGAGUGAAACUUACUUUCUCGGCAGCUGCACUUUGCCAGCCAGGCUGCAGGUUUGACAGACCCGAGUAGUGGAGUUUCCUGGGGAGCAGAGUUCUGUGUUAAAAAGCAGUGACUCUUCAGAAACCUGUAAAGAAAGCUUUCCCAGAGUGGCUUUGUCUCAUCAUAUCUCAUCUUUUCAGGGAACUCUAGGCAUUUUAUGCUUUAUCCUUUCUCAUUUUUUUUUUCCCCUUCUCUUCAUUUUCUUUGGAUUCCAGAGAACAACUGCCAUAGAGGGAGCAUCUACUUCCUCAUAUUUAAAUCUAAUUUAAGUCAGCCCCCUGAUCCCUACACACAGAUGAUGCCAUGUUUGAUGUAUGCUCACUCAGAUUGUCUCCAAAGACUUCUAGUAUUUUUAGAAACUUCCAUUUUAGCCACAUCUUCUCUCCUAUUCUUUUCCUUUAUACUUUUUUCUUUGUUUCUCUACCAUCCCAAAGUACUAUUCUUGAAUCUUUUCAUUGUUCCUUUCCGUAAUAGUGCCCUGAAGAUCACUGUUGUCACAUCCCAUAUUCAUCGUAGUGCUUUUUUGAACCACUCAG